rnacentral:misc_RNA from 1 species
CAUCGAACUGCUUUCCUCACUUUCGAUCAAUCGUUGCUCCACGAGCUAUCGUUGGAUGCGAAAUGAAYGGGUUCCUGUGUUGCAUACCUAUCGUAACGGAAAUCUGUGCCUUUGUCGUCCUUUCCAUCACAACAUCCUUUUGGAUGCUUGGUUGGACUMGAUAGCAGGGCUCGUGUUCCACGAACAUCUCUUUUGAUCGUUCGGACGGGCCACGAGCGUCUGCUUGUUCUCUCGGAUGCGGAACUCUUUAAUGGGUGUUGGGUCAUUGGCCCUUGUUCCCGAAUCUUUAAGCGUUUAUCGCUUUACUGGAAUGACGCUCUUGCCUUGUUAUUGACCACGUGGUGCUCUCGGGCGUCACGAUGGAUCAUGCUCGGCGGWCGUCGUGAAGGAAUGC